AAAUUGAAGAGUUUGAUCAUGGCUCAGAUUGAACGCUGGCGGCAGGCCUAACACAUGCAAGUCGAACGGUAACAGGAAUCAGCUUGCUGCUUUGCUGACGCGUGGCGGACGGGUGAGUAAUGUCUGUGAAACUGCCCGAUGGCGGGGGAUAACUCCUGG
rnacentral:rRNA from 1 species